AAUCCAUUGUGUGGGCAGUCGCGUACUAGUCUCUUGAAUCUCGCCCAUGCGUCACUGGGCGAUUCAUGUUCUUCUUUGUUCAAAAUUGGUGAUCAAUUUCCUCAUUCU